AUGGCCGGCGCAAGAUCGGCGGCAACCAGGCUCACACACUCUUCGCUAUUCCUACUGUCUCGCGCCGCCGCAGCGGCAGCGACCCGCCAUCCCAAUCUCCCCUCCCCCCCGAGAGAUUAUUCAAAGAUGGCUAGUUCAGUUGGAGGCAAUGGCUACAGUGAUGUUACACGGGUGCUAUUCUGUGGCCACUAUUGGCCUGCUUCUACUAUUUAUACGAAGGAGUACUUGCAAAACUAUCCAUUUAUUCAGGUUGACGAAGUAGGUCUUGAGCACGUACCCGAUGUUAUUCAAAACUACCAUAUAUGUGUAGUGAAAAAUAAAUGUAUAGAUUCAGAUAUCAUUGCCAAAGCAACUAAGAUGAAGAUUAUUAUGCAGUAUGGUGUUGGUUUAGAAGGUGUUGACAUAAAUGCUGCUACAGAACAGAAAAUCAAAGUUGCACGGAUACCUGGGAGUACUACAGGAAAUGCAAUUGCUUGCGCAGAAAUGGCUAUCUAUCUAACUCUAGGUGUUCUGCGGAAGCAAAAGGAAAUGGAUACUGCUGUCAUUCAGAAGGACUUGGGCCUUCCAGUUGGAGAAACAAUAUUCGGGAAAACAAUACUUAUCCUGGGGUUCGGAGCCAUUGGCAUGGAAAUUGCCAAGAGACUAAGACCAUUUGGAGUGAAAAUUCUUGCUACAAAAAGAAACUGGUCAUCAUAUACAGUGUCUUGUGAUCUUGAUGGGCUGGUUGACAAGAAAGGUGGUCCAGAAGAUAUGUACGAACUCGCUAGAGAAGCUGACAUAGUUAUAACUUGCAUGACGUUAAACAAUGAAUCAGUUGGGAUUGUGGAUCACAAGUUCCUGUCAGCUUUGAAAAAGGGAUCAUAUCUCAUCAAUAUUGCCAGAGGACGCCUACUGGACUAUACGGCUGUGUUUAAUCACCUUGAGUCAGGUCAUUUAGGUGGUUUGGGCAUUGAUGUUGCUUGGACGGAGCCAUUCGAUCCAGAGGAUCCAAUUCUGAAAUUCCCAAAUGUUAUUAUAACACCACAUGUUGCAGGAAUCACAGAAUACUCUUACAGAACCAUGGCAAAGGUUGUUGGUGAUGUCGCUCUCAAGCUUCAUGCAGGAGAGCCAUUCACCGAAAUAGAAUUUGUGAACUAG
rnacentral:rRNA from 1 species